rnacentral:tRNA from 1 species
AUAGUAAUAUCUGUUUUGCUUUCAGAUGGUGUCAAUACUUUAGUUAUGUUGGGUUUCUAUUAUAAAUCCUUCAUACAUUUAACAUAUU